rnacentral:rRNA from 1 species
UACGGAGGGGGCUAGCGUUGUUCGGAAUUACUGGGCGUAAAGCGCACGUAGGCGGAUCGUUAAGUCGGGGGUGAAAUCCUGGAGCUCAACUCCAGAACUGCCUUCGAUACUGAGAGUCUUGAGUCCGGGGAGAGGUGAGUGGAACUGCGAGUGUAAGAGGUGAAAUUCGUAGAUAUUCGCAAGAACACCAGUGGCGAAGCGGCUCACUGGCCCGGGUACUGACGCUGAGGUGCGAAAGCGUGGGGAGCAAACAGG